rnacentral:rRNA from 1 species
AUUGAACGCUGGCGGCAUGCCUUACACAUGCAAGUCGAACGGCAGCACGGGUUCUUGCACCUGGUGGCGAGUGGCGAACGGGUGAGUAAUACAUCGGAACAUGUCCUGUAGUGGGGGAUAGCCCGGCGAAAGCCGGAUUAAUACCGCAUACGAUCUACGGAUGAAAGCGGGGGACCUUCGGGCCUCGCGCUAUAGGGUUGGCCGAUGGCUGAUUAGCUAGUUGGUGGGGUAAAGGCCUACCAAGGCGACGAUCAGUAGCUGGUCUGAGAGGACGACCAGCCACACUGGGACUGAGACACGGCCCAGACUCCUACGGGAGGCAGCAGUGGGGAAUUUUGGACAAUGGGCGAAAGCCUGAUCCAGCAAUGCCGCGUGUGUGAAGAAGGCCUUCGGGUUGUAAAGCACUUUUGUCCGGAAAGAAAUCCUUGUCUCUAAUACAGUCGGGGGAUGACGGUACCGGAAGAAUAAGCACCGGCUAACUACGUG